ACGAACGCUGGCGGCGUGCUUAACACAUGCGAGUCGAACGGUGAAGCGCCUUCCUUUUUGGUGGGUGUGGAUGAGUGGCGAACGGGUGAGUAACACGUGAGUAACCUGCCCCCUUCUUCUGGAUAACCGCAUGAAAGUGUGGCUAAUACGGGAUAUUCUGGGUCUGUCGCAUGAUGGGUCUGGGAAAGAUAUUGUUUCGGUGGGGGAUGGGCUCGCGGCCUAUCAGCUUGUUGGUGGGGUGAUGGCCUACCAAGGCGGUGACGGGUAGCCGGCCUGAGAGGGUGGACGGUCACACUGGGACUGAGACACGGCCCAGACUCCUACGAGAGGCAGCAGUGGGGAAUAUUGCACAAUGGGCGCAAGCCUGAUGCAGCGACGCCGCGUGAGGGAUGGAGGCCUUCGGGUUGUGAACCUCUUUCGCCAGUGAAGCAGGCCUGCCUCGUUUGUGGGUGGGUUGACGGUAGCUGGAUAAGAAGCGCCGGCUAACUACGUG
rnacentral:rRNA from 1 species